AUCGAUCCCACGGACCCUCGACCCACACAGCCCCGGGCCCCACCCAUGCUGCACACACACCCACGCCCAACCCAUGCACACACACCCAUGUUGGAUGCCAUCUCUCUCAUCCUCCUCGAUCCCCUUUCUCCACCCCACGCCGCCACCAGAUUCCGGCGAUCCCCACCGUUCCCCACUGCCCAGCUCUCCUCCCCGAGGUCACCUCUCGCCGCUCACCAUCUCCACCGACCGAUUCCUCUCCUCGCCCAGGAGAGCCACGCCUAGGCACUAGUGGUGGUGCACCGCGAGGAGGCCCCAGCGGCAUCGAGUUGCUGCUGCUGCGAGCAUAGCGACGUGCUGGGGAGGAGCUACGUCGGGAUGCUGCUCCUGCGCCGAGCUACUGCUGCUGUGGGCACGACAACGAGCCGGGGAGCAGCUGCUGCUGCGGGCACGGCGUCUCUCCUUUCCCCAAAUCCCCAUCUGGCGCAUCCCUCUCCAGCCUCAAGCCGCUGCCCUGAGCUCCCCUACAGGCCGGCGACACCACUCUGAUUAGGAGUCACGCAUGUGGCCGGCAUAGCAUUCUGGUCACCAACUGCCCUCUAGGUGUGAGAUGUUUUGCUCGUGGACAAUCUCAUGUGUUGGAUCUGCAUUGGAUGGCAGAUAAGCGGAGUGGGAGCUUGCAGCAGCAUCUUUGACCCCUUCCCAAUGAGCUGUAGGUCGUAGACGAGGUCCCGGCCGAGGUAUCCCUCCUCUCAUCCCUUCCCCUUUCUACCACCUAAGGAGUGAUUAUAGUGUAUGCUGCACAGAAGUUUCCAAAGUUCAUGCUUAGCUGAUAUCUUUUGUUAACUGAAUAGUUUGCUGUGAUGAAUCAUUAGGAUAGUAUAGCAAGGCGGCUCUUAAAAAAGGUCCCUUCUUUGAUUAUAAAUCCUAAACAGAUCAUAAAUUAUGAGCAAAGAACCUUCCAUGAUCCCCAUCACAGAGUUUUGUUUUUGUUCCCUUGCAUUGAUAUGCAAAAUAUAUGCAUCGCUAACAAUUUUGCGUUAAGUUAAUUGUUUGUUGUGAUGAAUCAUAAGGACGAUAUCCGAGUACGCUGGCUCUUGAAAAAGGCCUCCUUCCUUGAUUAUAGUAAUUCCUAAACUGGUCAUAUAGUCUGGGCAACCUAUACAAAUCUGAAUUUAUGUUUUGGAAAACCAUGUUUCCUGUUUAAAUUCUACUAGUCAUUGCUCUAUGCUUUAAUAUUGGGUAUUAGGACAUGAUCAUGCUCCUAUGGUUGUUAUAUUUGAUAAGACUUGAACAUGCUUAUUUUAGUUUAGAUAUCCAUCUAUGCUACCGUUCUGUCCAUUUGGAUGUUAUGCACUUACAAUUAUACAUUAUGUAAAUCCAUAUUUCAGUUGCAAUGUAUAGCUUGAUUCACACUUGUAGCAGCCAUGCAAGAUAAAAGAAAAUAAAUCUAGAUUCUUACCCUUUCCCUUGAUAUAUUCUCCUUGUUGAACAAACAAACAGUUUUCGAUGAACUGACAUUUCACCGUUCUGCUGGUUGGAUGCUUGUUGCCUAUAUUUAGAAUAAGUGUAAGUGCUUGUAUCUUGCUACUAUGAAAGUGGCGAUGUUUUUAAUGAAGUGAUGCAGGCUGCAGUGGAGUGCAACAUGUAUUCAUUGCAAUAUUUUCAUAUUUGUGGAGAUUGUUUAGUAUUUUGUGGUUGAUGGCUGUAGCUGGCUUUUCCUCCUAAAAUUUACAUGUGGUGGGAACAGAGUACAUGUGCCAUAAAAUUCACUUUUUCUCCUAACAACUUAUACUUAGCACUUUGAUCUUUUGUGGUUGAUGGCUGUAGCUGGCUUUUCCUCCUAAAAUUUACAUCGAAGUAAAAGAGAUGGCCAUUUAAUUAGGCUAGGCUCACAAGUAGCUGGAUUUUUUGUGUGUGAAGAUGCAUCAGUGACUUUUUUAGCAGUUUAUAAUGGUACUAGCCCCCUGUGCUUGUGGGUGCAGUGCCCUAAUUGCAGAAAAAUACGAGGUGCAAGUGUGGUGCUGGUUCUCUCCUUUGGCUCUUUGGUAUUGGUUCUCUCCUUUGGCUCCUUGUAAUAUGUGUUGGAUAUGUGUUCAUGGAUAUGUGUUGGAUAUAUAUGUGUUCAUGACUAUUGGUAACAUGUGUUGGAUAUGUGUUCAUGGCUAUUGGUAACAUGUGUUGGAUA